UGCCGGGGAUCAUCGUGCUUCCCCUAAAGGCUACAACAAGCUCGACGCAUGAAGGCAUCAUCUAACUAUAGACGGCUGCACUACAUGCCAACAAUUUAACUUGAUUUCCUUGGAGUAGUAAUUAAGAUGAUUCUCUUUUUCAUGGCGAGUCACUUAUUAUCACACGGGAGAUUAAUGCCAUGAAAUUCAAACCAAGUGGAUUUACAUCGGGUGAAUAUCAGCUUUUAUUUUUCCUGACUAUGCCCUCAAAACAUAAAAAUUAUUAUUGUGCACAGAAUAUUUUUUUUGAUGGUUUUGUACUGCAUUAUUUUUGGAGAGAAAUUCUAUUAAUAUUCGUGUAUGACGUCGGUCUAGUCAGCCACUGUGGAUUUCUCACCUAUGUCGAAAUCGACCUCGUGCCAGAUAAUCGACCUCGACCACAUUAUGUUGUUACAUCGGCGAGCCGACGUUGUUGUCCCACGUGUGCCAACUUCGGCCCUCAGGGUAAUUGACAUUGGCUGCAUCCUGCGGCCACCACGGAAGGCUGACAUCGUCAUCCCGCCUCCAUCAACCAAAUUGCGUCAUCGACAUGAUCGACUGACGUGGGGGCUUCGCCAUCAUGCUGCCGAACUACUCUAUCUCCUCGGCUGGACUAGAGGCUUCGCCUCGCUGUAGCAACCGUGUUACAUUGCCACUUCUCGACUCGAGCUCUUCGCUCGAUGACCCGGAUUGGGGGCUGGGACCUCGGCCACGCCUAGGACUAUGUCUCUGUCUUGCCACAACUCUGGACCGCAUGGAGCACAUUAACUAGCUAAGUCAUUUUUGCGCUUAGUUCUUUUUGAAAUUUUACUUUUUGUUCGCUUCAACCAAACAUUAUAUUUUUUGUUAAACAAAAAAAUCAUUUGAUAGAAACUAUUUCCUUUCCCCAAAGUUAAUUGGGGGAUCUUAAAUUUAUAUGAGCUAUUUUAUAAUAAAUGUGUUUUCUUCUU